AUCUAGGGCCAUACCACCCUGAAAGCACGCGAUCUCAUCUGAUGUGGAAAGUUAAGUGGGGUCAGGCCUGGUUAGUACUUGGAUGGGAGAAAUUAUGUCUAACUCCAUCUA
rfam:Homo sapiens chromosome 7, GRCh38 reference primary assembly.